rnacentral:snRNA from 1 species
GUGCUUGUUUUGGCAGCACAUACACGAAAACUGGAACAAUACAGAGAAGAUUAGCAUGGCCCCUGCAAAUUAAUUAAUUAAUUAAUCAAUGCUUUA